rnacentral:rRNA from 1 species
GACGAACGCUGGCGGCGUGCUUAACACAUGCAAGUCGAACGGAAAGGCCCUGCUUUUGUGGGGUUCUCGAGUGGCGAACGGGUGAGUAACACGUGAGUAACCUGCCCUUGACUUUGGGAUAACUUCAGGAAACUGGGGCUAAUACCGGAUAGGAGCUCCUGCUGCAUGGUGGGGGUUGGAAAGUUUCGGCGGUUGGGGAUGGACUCGCGGCUUAUCAGCUUGUUGGUGGGGUAGUGGCUUACCAAGGCUUUGACGGGUAGCCGGCCUGAGAGGGUGAACGGACACAUUGGGACUGAGAUACGGCGCAGACGCCUAUGGGAGGCAGCAGUGGGGAAUAUGACACAAUGGGCGGAAGCCUGAUGAAGAAACGCCGCGUGCGGGAUGACGGCCUUCGGGUUGUAAACCGCUUUCGCCUGUGACGAAGCGUGAGUGACGGUAAUGGGUAAAGAAGCACCGGCUAACUACGUG